rnacentral:tRNA from 1 species
GGGGCCGUAGUUAAGUCGUUUAUAACGCUGGCCUGUCGCCAGAGGGCGGUUCGAGUCCCGUCGGCCCCGCCA